AAAGUCUUUUAUUUCCUGUCAUUUUAUUUUGAAACUAUAAUGAUGUCAUAUCCUUUCCGAGCGCAUCACAUCCUCAUUCCCGACUCCGCAUUCUGUGGGAUGGUGGCUCGCGUGUGCGUAACCUAAUCGAAAACCACACACACAGACACCCACACAUAUGCCUAUUUGUACACCAAUGAUUGUACCCAAACUACAAUAUUAAAGUUUGCUGGAACAAUUUCUCCGUGCCCUUCUCUCUGACCGGAGCCCUGUCAAAGGAAACUGCCAGACCAGUAUUAUCCCAUUCAGAGUGUCCCACUCUAUCACA